ACCGCGGGCACGGGAUCCCACCUGUGUGCUGGGGGUUCCUGCGUGCCGCGGGCAGCAACAGCGUGCGGUUGCUGAAGCGAGCUGGAAAUAAGGGAGAUGAGUUACAAGGGGCAGUAGCCGGGAGGAAAUAAAAAAAAAAUAAUUAAAAGCUGAGGGAUUCUCCACAGCCCCCGUCAACAGAAUCUCCAAGUAAAGUUACAGGAUGCAGAUACAGGUUUUAACUACAGUGAACCUGCUGCUGAAGCAUCUCUUCAGUGCCUUUUCUUCCCCACCUAUUGAACUGCAUUUUCCUCGGCACAUCUACUCAGCACUACAGGAACUUUCAUACAUGCUAGAGGUGUUGCAAGAAGAUGAGCAGGAAGCCCAUCCUGCACCAGACAAGCUAGAAUGUUCUGAUAAACAUUUUCAGAGGACAAUCUGUGCUGGAGUUGGAAUAUGCUUCCUGUCGUUCAUCAGAAGAACUGGCAAGCAAGCAAGGCUGACAGAUGUAGUUCAGACUUAUGAGGAUUUCCUGAAAUUCCCAGGAGGUGUGAUGAGUGCACUUCUUCUUCCAAGACUGCUAAUGAAAAGCCACAGCGUUCUGGAGGAGGUACAGAUGGCUUCUGAAGGAUGGUUGUAUGAUGCUUCAUUCAGUGGGAUUCCGACUCAUCAUAGCCAGCCUGCUACCUCAGAGACAGGAGCUGAUGUUUCAAGCAUGAUCGUGGAGCUGAGCACCUUCUGGAGCAGUCACGCUGCAUCUUGGAUGAAUACCAAAGCUGCUGGGCGUUCAGCACUGAGACAGUCUCCAAGGGAGCUGGGAAUGCAUGACCCAGGAAGACCCACAGCUCCAGAAUUCACCAGGAAGCACAGCAUCUCUUCUUUCAUCUCAGGCUAGCUAAAACCUUUCCAUUAGAGCAGGGUUUUCCUAAUCAAAUACCUCUGUGGCAAAAGAUGGUUUGAGAAUUCAUGAUUUAUGUGUUAAAAGACUGAAGAAAGGGGCCUCCUACUAAACAUUCUGUUUCUUUAUCCUGCAUAACCAUACCUUCCCCAUAUUCAUGCUUUGAUGUAGAUAACAGAAAUGAAAUAAAAGUGGUAGAGAUAUUAUGAUUUUUAAUGUU
rnacentral:lncRNA from 1 species